rnacentral:lncRNA from 1 species
AUGUCACUAAGCACUAUGUUGACCUGUCUUUUAAAUCCCUCCAGGGAUGGUGCCUCAACCACUUCCCUGGGUGGGAAUGAUGGCAGAAGCAAAGCUGCACAUCCAGAUACCACACGAGGAGAGCAAAGCAUUUCUGCAGUGCUGGAGAAGCUGCACAAGGAAAUAUGCAGAAUAGAGGCUGGCCUUGGUUUCCUUGCUGCCCCUGGUUCACUGCAGACCAUCAAAGACCAGCACUUCCCAAAGCGCCAUCAUCACAAGAAAACAUGGUUGCCUCCUCCUCCAGCACUUGGAAGGUUGAGUCGUGUAUCUGAUGUUUGAAAGGUCUCCAAUGGAAGGAAAAAGUGAUGGAAAUUGGAUUAUUGGGGUUUUUACUACUCUAACAUACCUGGUAAGGCCAUAAGGACUAGAACACAGAAGCAUAGAACUGUCCAGGUGGGAAUGGACCUUUCAGAUCAUCGAGUCCAACCAUCAACCCAACACUGACAAAGGCCACCAGUAACCCAUAUCCCUCAGCACCACAUCUGCCCGGCUUUUAAAUCCCUCCAGGGAUGAGGUAUUUAGGCAGCCUGGUCCAAUGCCUGAUAACUCUUUCAGUGUAAAAUUUUUCUAUGAUUCUGUGAAAUCGGAUUAUUUGGUUUCCACUACUCUGACAUACCUGGUAAGACCAUAAGGCCUAGAAUAUUACAUAAUCACAGAAUCUUCUAGCUUGGAAGGGACCUCAAAGAUCAUCUUGUCCAACCGUCAACCCAACUGACAAAAAUAGACACCCACACAACAAACAAGAAGCAUCACCAUCACUAAACCAUACCUCCCAGCACUACAUCAACCCGUCUUUUGAACACCUCCAGGGAUGGUGCCUCAACCACCUCCCUGGGCAGCCCAUUCCAAUGCCUGAUGACCCUUUUGGUGAAGAAAUUUUUCCUAAUAUCCAGCCUGAACCUCCCCUGGCGCAACUUGAGGCCAUAAAUUCUGCUAUGAGUGGUUGACACAACUUGUGUGAGGUUGGUGGCCACGCAAGGGCACAAAAUCUUGAGUUCUCCCACUGGAACAGCCCAGACCCUGCCUGUGCACCCCCCCAGUGAGGAUUUGCCCCCAGCAGGCAGGGGCAGGACGCAGUGCAGGGCAGCCUGCCACGUCCUGUAAACCCCAGAGAUUCACACUCACGUGGGAUGCAAAAGCAAACAAUAAAGAGACGCAAUAGCAGUAGCUUUACCCGGUG